rnacentral:rRNA from 1 species
UAACACGUAGGGUGCGAGCGUUGUCCGGAAUUAUUGGGCGUAAAGAGCUCGUAGGCGGUGUGUCGCGUCGGCCGUGAAAACCUGCAGCUUAACUGUGGGCGUGCGGUCGAUACGGGCAUCACUGGAGUUCGGCAGGGGAGACUGGAAUUCCUGGUGUAGCGGUGAAAUGCGCAGAUAUCAGGAGGAACACCGGUGGCGAAGGCGGGUCUCUGGGCCGAUACUGACGCUGAGGAGCGAAAGCGUGGGGAGCGAACAGG